rnacentral:rRNA from 1 species
GACGAACGCUGGCGGCGUGCUUAACACAUGCAAGUCGAGCGGUAAGGCCCUUCGGGGUACACGAGCGGCGAACGGGUGAGUAACACGUGGGUAACCUGCCCUGUACUCUGGGAUAAGCCUGGGAAACUAGGUCUAAUACCGGAUACGACCUGCCACUGCAUGGUGGUGGGUGGAAAGUUCCGGCGGUACAGGAUGGACCC